AAAAAACAUUUUCAAUUCAGGACUUCUACUUGUAACAGAGCAUUUUUACCGCGUGUUAUUAGUACUUUUACUUGAGUAAAGGAUCUGAGUACUUCUUCCACCGCUG